rnacentral:lncRNA from 1 species
CGUAGUAAAGUAGCCUAAAUAGAUUAUCCAUUUGGGACACUACCUAAUUCAUUACUACUAGUCCAUCAACCCGUGCUCCCGCACGGGCUAAUAUUUUUAGAAGCUAUUGUAUUUAAAAAUUAUUUAGAAAUUAAACUCAUAACUAAUAAUCAAAAUUGUUUACCUACUACUCUCUUAUUUUUCAAUACUUCAACAUAAUACUUAUAUAGAUAUGUACCUAUCUUUGCCCAGUUGUGAUUGAUUUUUAAUUAAUAAUUACUCAAUGCACUUUUUCAUCCAUAUUCAUAUUUUUUUCCAUUUUGUAUCACACCUCCAAUCCUCCAUACAUUAUGUUUAGCAUACAAAUCAAUACUUUUCAUCAAUUCCUCACAUACAUAUAUAAAUGAUCUUACUCGUCAUGUGUAUAUACUUUAAAUUAGUAUUUUUAUAUUAACAAUGACAUAAAUAGAUAAUUUAAAAUCAUAUAUUAACAUAAAUAGAUAAUUUAAAAUCAUAUAUUAGUUUAUUUUUUGAUAUUUCUGUAUGAUGCACGUGAAGAUAAUUAUAUUAAGAUUUAGGUGUUUACUUUAGGUUAUUUUUAAUAACGACAUACGUGGAUAACAUAGAUAAAAUUUUAGAAUGAUAUUUUAAGUUAUACAAUAUAAUGAUGUGUAUUAGUAAAUUGGAUGAAGGUUAUAGGGUUACUUUAGAUUAUUUUUUAUAAUAGCUAAGCUCGGUAAUUGAAAUAUAGGUUUAGAGCUCAUUUUUGAAUAUUUUCACUAUCAUGUGGGUAACUUUUUAGAAAAUAUAAUAGAUCAAUGGCUAUGAUUAUUAUAGUUUACAGGAUUGGUGUUUGAUGUUUUUAAUUUUUAUGAGAAUUUGUCUCUUUUUUCUGACUUGUCUCGUGGGAACUAAUGUGGAGCCUCCAAUGGAAAAAAAGAGACUACAUUGCUAAAAAAACUAUUACCAUAAGCUAGCUCUCGUUUGUUAAAUAUUCGAACACACAAUGCUUAUGUAGGUAUAUACUUAAUAUUUUCAUCCAAUUGUGAUAGAUUUUAGUUAGUAAUUACUCUAUAAUAUUUUCAUCCACAUUUAUAAUCUUUAAGUUUUCACUUUGCAUCGCAGGUAUGUGCUUGAAUUUGUUUAAUGAACCUUAUGUUUGAGAUACAAUUUUAGCAUAGAAAUCUAUAUUCUCAUCAUUUUAUAUCCUUAUAAAUGGUGAUACAUAUCAUGCGCAUAGACCUUAAUUAUUAUAUCGUAUACCAAUAGUGAAAGAUAUAAAUGAUUUAGAAUCAUAUAUUGCUGUAUAUUUUUAAUUAAGGUUAUUUGAUUCAAAUGUAGAGUUACCUCAUGUUAUUUUUAAUAAUGAUAGGUGUGGUUAAUAUAGAUGCAAAUUUAAGGGGUUACUUUAAGUUUUUUAAGUAAUAGUGGUAGGCAAUUCAAUUGCAAAUUAGGGGGUUAUUUUAAAUAUUGUUAAUAAUGGCAUAAGUGGGUAAUUUUGAUAAAGAUUAGGGGGUUACUUUAGUUUAUUUUAUAUAAUGGCAGAGGUGGGUAAUUUAUAUAUAGAUUUAGGGGGUUACUUUAGGCUAUUUUCAUAAUGGUAUAGGUGGGUAAUUUUUUAGAAAACAUAAUAGAUCCAAUGGUCAUGAUGAUUUAAAUAUAUCGAUUGAUGGUCGGAUGUUUUGCUUUUUUGUGAGAAUUUCUAGGAUUUCUCUCUUUUUCUAGAGUGUUCAUGGAAGCUUCAAAAGGAGCCUCCAAUUAGUAAUAGUAAGAUACUG